UUGAUUUAAUUGUGUUUUUAGACGUUUACUGCAACUACAGGAGGGUUUGUUGUGGUCCCCAUUGGCGGGCGGGCCCGCCGAGGAAACAGAAGGUACUCAAAAUGCAAGGGGUGGUAUCUUGACGGGGCCGAAGCCCCUCAGUAAUGAUCCUUCCGCAGGUUCACCUACGGAAA
rnacentral:misc_RNA from 1 species